UACGUAGGGCGCAAGCGUUAUCCGGAAUUAUUGGGCGUAAAGAGCUCGUAGGCGGUUUGUCGCGUCUGCCGUGAAAGUCCGGGGCUCAACUCCGGAUCUGCGGUGGGUACGGGCAGACUAGAGUGAUGUAGGGGAGACUGGAAUUCCUGGUGUAGCGGUGAAAUGCGCAGAUAUCAGGAGGAACACCGAUGGCGGAAGGCAGGUCUCUGGGCAUUAACUGACGCUGAGGAGCGAAAGCUGGGAGCGAACAGG
rnacentral:rRNA from 1 species